GAUGAACGCUGGCGGCGUGCCUAAUACAUGCAAGUCGAGCGAACGGACGAGAAGCUUGCUUCUCUGAUGUUAGCGGCGGACGGGUGAGUAACACGUGGAUAACCUACCUAUAAGACUGGGAUAACUUCGGGAAACCGUAGCUAAUACCGGAUAAUAUUUUGAACCGCAUGGUUCAAAAGUGAAAGACGGUCUUGCUGUCACUUAUAGAUGGAUCCGCGCUGCAUUAGCUAGUUGGUAAGGUAACGGCUUACCAAGGCAACGAUGCAUAGCCGACCUGAGAGGGUGAUCGGCCACACUGGAACUGAUACACGGUCCAGACUCCUGCGGGAGGCAGCAGUAGGGAAUCUUCCGCAAUGGGCGAAAGCCUGACGGAGCAACGCCGCGUGAGUGAUGAAGGUCUUCGGAUCGUAAAACUCUGUUAUUAGGGAAGAACAUAUGUGUAAGUAACUGUGCACAUCUUGACGGUACCUAAUCAGAAAGCCACGGCUAACUACGUG
rnacentral:rRNA from 1 species